rnacentral:rRNA from 1 species
UCGGAUUUACUGGGCGUAAAGCGUGCGUAGGCGGCUGAUUAAGUCGGAUGUGAAAUCCCUGAGCUUAACUUAGGAAUUGCAUUCGAUACUGGUCAGCUAGAGUAUGGGAGAGGAUGGUAGAAUUCCAGGUGUAGCGGUGAAAUGCGUAGAGAUCUGGAGGAAUACCGAUGGCGAAGGCAGCCAUCUGGCCUAAUACUGACGCUGAGGUACGAAAGCAUGGGGAGCAAACAGGAUUAGAUACCCUGGUAGUCCAUGCCGUAAACGAUGUCUACUAGCCGUUGGGGCCUUUGAGGCUUUAGUGGCGCAGCUAACGCGAUAAGUAGACCGCCUGGGGAGUACGGUCGCAAGACUAAAACUCAAAUGAAUUGACGGGGGCCCGCACAAGCGGUGGAGCAUGUGGUUUAAUUCGAUGCAACGCGAAGAACCUUACCUGGUCUUGACAUAGUAAGAACUUUCCAGAGAUGGAUUGGUGCCUUCGGGAACUUACAUACAGGUGCUGCAUGGNUGUCGACAGCUCGUGUCGUGAGAUGUUGGGUUAAGUCCCGCAACGAGCGCAACCCUUUUCCUUAUUUGCCAGCACUUCGGGUGGGAACUUUAAGGAUACUGCCAGUGACAAACUGGAGGAAGGCGGGGACGACGUCAAGUCAUCAUGGCCCUUACGACCAGGGCUACACACGUGCUACAAUGGUCGGUACAAAGGGUUGCUACCUAGCGAUAGGAUGCUAAUCUCAAAAAGCCGAUCGUAGUCCGGAUUGGAGUCUGCAACUCGACUCCAUGAAGUCGGAAUCGCUAGUAAUCGCGGAUCAGAAUGCCGCGGUGAAUACGUUCCCGGGCCUUGUA